UUGUCAUGUAUGACUCUACUCUCAAACAAAAUGUUCUUGUCUUUGCUCCCGUUAUUGCAGCCGUUAUUGCAGCUUUGGCUGACAAUCCAAGGCUCACCUGGGAAGUGGUGCAAACCUCUUUUGUCGUAUGUGUAUGGUAAACAAGCGUGAGGAUCCAACGAUUGGCAGAACAAAGCAGUUGCCACAUUCAAUGCAUCAAAAAUCAGCCAUUUGAAACAGGGAAAAUUGAGACACGAAAGCAUUUCGGAAUGGAAGAGAUCGAUAAUCCCCUAUUCCACGUUUCUAUAUGUAUGUGUAUGGUGGUUACAUGUACAUGAUACGUGUUUUGGAUCGAGUCAAGUGCAUGUAACUUACAAUUAUUAAGAUUGCAUAAUAUCCAGCUAUGGUACACGAACUUUGCCAACACACGACAGGUCAACUCUUGUGGAGACACUACACACAAUUCUCCUUGGACCAUACAAGUACCCCCUUAUCCCACAACUCACAGCAGCUCAGACGCCAGCACUUCCGGGAAAGUCCUUGGCAAUAUCGUCAGCUAUCACAAGUUACAAGGCUUUGUCUCAGAUUGCGUUGUUUGUGUUUUGAGUUUGGCUUGCUCUUUCAAAGGUAUUCAGAAUUGCCUACUGUGUACCAUUCACAGAGGAUAAAGUACACCAGAUAUGACAGCACUUUGUGGCCACCGUAAAAGAAAACAUGCCUGAAAUGCUGAAAAAACAAGAAGUUCACCUGCUACUCCAUCUUCCGGAAAGUAUGAAAGAGUUUGGUCCCCCAUAAUCUUUUAACACAGAAAGGUGUGAGGCUUUCACAACUCAAAUAUGAGAAACUACAAUGUAUACGAUCGAUGCCAAAAGUUCAAGUCUAAAAUUAUGGCCGCAAGUCAGCAGAGCCUUGCAGCUCUCUGCUCACUCUACCAAUAGCCAGCGUUUUAAUGCAGAGCAAACUACUAAGUAGAGUAGUAACACCCAGUGAACAAGUUUUGCUACGGACUGGUGAGCCACCUUCCAAAAAGAGAAAAACUGAUGGCCAGGCUGUUGUUUCAGACACAGUAGUGGAUGACGAAAAUUUUAAGAAACUCAAGGAAAAACAUCGCUGAGAUUGUGGGCCAAACUGUUCAGCAAAGGACGAUAUGAUGACUUUGAAAACGUCCCUCCCAUCCCUCUACUGCAAGAUGACUCUUCAUUAUCUACAAAAAAGAAGAAGAAUUGCGCCUCAGAUGCACUGGUUGAUGCUGUUACAGCUUUUGCGCAAGUGUUUUAAGUCACCAAACGUAACACCCCAGAAAAUCAGCAGCCCUACUCAGAUCUCUUCUAAGCUGUCAUCAAUGAAGUACGCCCAGCUGCGCCGCAGCAGUUUGGAAGACCUAAAAACGCUGAAGAACUUGUGUGAAGAAGAUAUUAUAUCUGAGAGUGAAUUUGCUGAAGAAAAGGAGCGUAUUUUGACCACACUAAAGUAAGAACCACACUAAAGUAAGAAAUUGUACACUAUACUUUUAAAAUACCUCUGUGAUUGGGAUAAUUAUUGUUAUAACUGAUUGAGCAAUAAUUGUUAUUCGUCAUUAAUCAAACAUAACCAGAAUGUUGUUGAUUGAUGUGAAUGCAUGCAAAUAUGUCCAGUAGGUAUUCAUUUGCUUUUAAAGUUGACUUCACUUUUGCCUCAAUGGGGUUCAAGUCCGGACUGUAGGGGGGGAGGAAAUGCAAAAGGGCUCCUGUUGACUCAAUAAGAUCAACCACACCAUUUGCAUGAUGCAUUAUCUAAUACAACAACACUAUGAGGAUUGCUGCCAUUAAAUGGCUUUAAUUGUGGGAGCAAAGAUUGGCGAACAUAGUGCUUAAAGUUGUCACCAGCCACAGAAGUAGUAUAUGUGUAACAGUCCAGAAGGCCUUCCAUAGAUAUAGCUGCAAUAGCAGAAACUCUUUGCCCGCGCACAAGUAGCUUAGUUGAUACAGCAGGUCUGCCCCUUAUGCUGUAUCCAUAUCUCCUCAAGCAGUUCCUUCUGUCUGCUCCAGUUUCAUCUACAAAAACAAACAUUUGAGGGUGGCCACGAAAAACUUGCAUGUCAAGGAGGUACUCUGCCCUCAGUAAUUCACUCCUCUGCUUUGCUACGAUUUUUGCCGUGUGAUGCUCCAAAUUGUGCUGGUGUCCACAUUGGUUCCGGUCUCUUGAAUUAGAGUCUGCUGUAUCUCACGUAGAAACACGUCUCAGCAAUUGUUUCCAAGAUGAUGUCUCUGUUAAACUAGCUGUUCCGGUGUUUGGAGGAUAUACUUUCUUUUCAACAUUGCCAGAAGUAUUGAACAAAGAUACAGUUCUGCUCACUGUAGAUAAGUCAACACAGAGAUUUUGUGCUACAGUUUCAACCCUAGCCUCGAUUCCAAGCCGCUGAGAAAGACGGCCUGGUAUACACUGUUUACGCAUGCGCCAGAAUUACCCAGAAUCUGGGUAAUCGUAAAUUGCAGUAUAUUUAUCAGUAUUCUUAUUCCGCAUUAGUUUGUAAAACAUUGAUAUCCGUUUCAUUUAUAAUGAUGUCAUUGAAAAAAGAAAUCUAGUCCAAGUUGUGUAAUGGCUGCUACCUUCUCUUCUGCUCUCGCGUACGUGUUAUCCUGUGUUGGAAAACCAGGUCUAGUCUUGAAAGACAAGCAGCUGGAGGCGUUGAAGUGUCUGUACGCUGGUGUUUAUGUGGGUACCCUACCGACCGGCUAUGGCAAGUCCCAGAGCGAGAGCAAGUCCAUCUGCUUUCCAGACACUCCCUUUCUUGAUUGAUGUGAAGCUUGACAGGACCAGUGCACCUCUCUCUGAAAGAAGUGUUGUGAUGGUGAUUUCUCCUCUUGUUUCUCUGAGUGAAGCCAUCUUCAAAGUGUUGGUGUGUCUGUUUGACGUUCAGUGCCAUUCUCUCUGGAAGGAAGUAUUGUUUGUGACAUUUGCUGAAAAUUGGUCACAGAGUAAGUACGUGGUAUCUGGUCCGAGAACUGUGUGGCCUGAAUGUGUUUACAAUCCGAGGGACUUGUGUGUAUCCGAUCCGAGGGACUUGUUGCUUGAGUGUGUAUUAAUGGAUAGUGCUUUCAAUGGUUUAACUAAGAUUAACUUGUCGCCUGAGUGUGUAUCCGAUCCGAGCCUCAAGUUAAUGAAUAAAUCUACAGAGCUGAUGUUUUACUUAGCUGUCUCUGUCUACAGUAUAUACAGAGAGGUAGCCUCUCCUUUUUCUGUUCUUUAUCACAAUAAGAUAAAAUACUGUUUUAACGUUCAA